UUUCCGUAGGUGAACCUGCGGAAGGAUCAUUAAUGAGAACUAAGGGUAGUAGUCUCGGCUACUACUCUGAACACUCCACCCUUUGUUUAUAUUACCUUUGUUGCUUUAGCAGGCCCGCUCUCGAGCCGCCGGCACCUGCUGGCUAGUGCCUGCUAAAGAACCUAAAACUCUUGUUAAUAAUAUUGUCUGAGUACUAUAUAAUAGUUAAAACUUUCAACAACGGAUCUCUUGGUCCUG
rnacentral:misc_RNA from 1 species